rnacentral:lncRNA from 1 species
AUGUCAUCUGCAAAGAGCGAUAAUUUGGUCUCCUCCUUGACUAUUUUAAUGCCCUCAAUUUCUUUUUCUUCUCUAAUUGCUACUGCUAGUGUUUCUAAUAAAAUGUCAAAUAAUAAAGGUGAUAAUGGGCAUCCUUGUUUCACUCCUGAUCUUAAUGGGAAUGGAUUUAGUUUAUCCCCAUUGCAGAUGAUAUUAGUUGAUGGUUUUAGAUAUAUACUGUUUAUUAUUUUUAGGAAUGGCCCUUCUAUUCCUAUGCUUUCCAGUGUUGUUUUUUUUUUUUAUUUUUUUCUAAAACAGUUUUUUAAUUGUAAAGUUCAUAACAACAAGAUUGGAUAGUAUAGCACAUGUUUUUUUCCCAUAUUCAUACUUCACACCAGGGGUAAAUUUAAACAGAGAAAAGUUUAUACACACACAACCCUUUACUUACCUAUAACCAAUAUCCUAGAUAUCAAUAUGAAUUGCUGGAACAAUGACUUAUCAGUUUUGUCCACAGUUUAUAGAUAGCUUUAUGGACAAGGUCAGAUGUUCCCUGGGACAAUGUUAACCGGAGAGAAUCCAAUUCAACAACAGAGAAUAAUAAAAUGCUUCCUCUACAUUUCA